rnacentral:rRNA from 1 species
CCGAGAAUAUUGGACAAUGGGCGAAAGCCUGAUCCAGCGACAUUGCGUGGAGGAUGAAGACGUUCGCGCCGUAAACUCCUUUUAUAGGGAAAGAAGUAAUUGACGGUACCCUAUGAAUAAGCGGGGGCUAAUUCUGUGCCAGCAGCAGCGGUAAUACAGAACCCGCAAGCGUUAUCCGGAUUUAUUGGGCGUAAAGUGUUCGUAGGCGGUUUGGAAAGUCUGAUAUCAAAUAUCCGGGCUCAACCCGGGACGCGUAUCGGAAACUUCCAAACUUGAAGGUGCUAGGGGCUAUCGGAACGCACGGUGUAGGGGUGAAAUCCGUUGAUAUCGUGCGGAACACCAAAAGCGAAGGCAGAUAGCUGGGGCAUUCUUGACGCUGAGGAACGAAAGCGUGGGGAGCAAAAAG